rnacentral:rRNA from 1 species
UACGAAGGGGGCUAGCGUUGCUCGGAAUCACUGGGCGUAAAGCGCACGUAGGCGGAUUGUUAAGUCAGGGGGUGAAAUCCUGGAGCUCAACUCCAGAACUGCCUUUGAUACUGGCGAUCUUGAGUCCGGGAGAGGUGAGUGGAACUGCGAGUGAGAGGUGAAAUUCGUAGAUAUUGCAAGAACACCAGUGGCGAAGGCGGACUCACCUGGC